CCUACGGUGGGCAGCAGUAGGGAAUCUUCCACAAUGGGCGCAAGCCUGAUGGAGCAACACCGCGUGAGUGAAGAAGGGUUUCGGCUCGUAAAGCUCUGUUGUUGGAGAAGAACGUGCGUGAGAGUAACUGUUCACGCAGUGACGGUAUCCAACCAGAAAGUCACGGCUAACUACGUGCCAGCAGCCGCGGUAAUACGUAGGUGGCAAGCGUUAUCCGGAUUUAUUGGGCGUAAAGCGAGCGCAGGCGGUUGCUUAGGUCUGAUGUGAAAGCCUUCGGCUUAACCGAAGAAGUGCAUCGGAAACCGGGCGACUUGAGUGCAGAAGAGGACAGUGGAACUCCAUGUGUAGCGGUGGAAUGCGUAGAUAUAUGGAAGAACACCAGUGGCGAAGGCAGCUCACUGGACUGCAACUGACACUGAUGCUCGAAAGUGUGGGUAUCAAACAGGAUUAGAUACCCGGGUAGUC
rnacentral:rRNA from 1 species